GUCUGCCUGGGAGACCAAGCGGAGUACCUGAGGCAGAGCAGGGCUGGGGAGCUCUGGCCUGACCAUAGUUUCAACUGUUGGCAACCAGUGAACAGUAGCCACUUAUUACAUGCUAUCUAUUGCUUUUGCAAGGAAAAUUGUUUUCAGUUGAGUUCCUUGAAUUAAAAAAAACCCCAACAACGUACCUAUCAAGAAAUCCACUUACCUGUUGGUCAUGACAGAUGGUCACUACUGGGCUGAUACGAAAAGACUGCAAAAUGAACCAAGAAAGCACCAGGACAUAAAUCACUAUCUGGAUAAGCAUGUUGAUUAUAUGUAUCUCACUACGAGCAGCAGAUGUGAAAAAGACAAAAGACUAAUUGUCAGCAGUAGUGGUGCUAAAUAAAUGUUUGACUUAUUGAUUAUAAUGAAAUGCUACUGCUAGUGGGAGUUUUUUGUGCAAAUGACUUGUCUUGAAGUAUUGCUCCUCACUGAAAAGCUUUUCCAGUGGAAAAUUUUAUAUGCAAUUAUGCUCUUUUGCUAUUAAUAUGCAGCUCAUUUUCCCACAAGAAAAUGUCUCUGAGUGCAAGGAUGCUUUU